GACGAACGCUGGCGGCGUGCCUAAUACAUGCAAGUAGAACGCUGAAGGAGGAGCUUGCUCUUCUGGAUGAGUUGCGAACGGGUGAGUAACGCGUAGGUAACCUGCCUGGUAGCGGGGGAUAACUAUUGGAAACGAUAGCUAAUACCGCAUAAGAGUAGAUGUUGCAUGACAUUUGCUUAAAAGGUGCAAUUGCAUCACUACCAGAUGGACCUGCGUUGUAUUAGCUAGUUGGUGGGGUAACGGCUCGCCAAGGCGACGAUACAUAGCCGACCUGAGAGGGUGAUCGGCCACACUGGGACUGAGACACGGCCCAGACUCCUACGGGAGGCAGCAGUAGGGAAUCUUCGGCAAUGGACGGAAGUCUGACCGAGCAACGCCGCGUGAGUGAAGAAGGUUUUCGGAUCGUAAAGCUCUGUUGUAAGAGAAGAACGAGUGUGAGAGUGGAAAGUUCACACUGUGACGGUAUCUUACCAGAAAGGGACGGCUAACUACGUG
rnacentral:rRNA from 1 species